AACCUUUGGAAGGAAUUUUAAGACUUAAUGGUGAAAAGUGUUGUAGAAGUGUUAGAUACUAUUAAAGGUGUUCAGAAUUUUCAUGUUUAAUUUAAAAAUAUAACAGUUCAGACAUUAGAAAUUAGGGUGGUACUGAUAACUUCAGAUCCUGUGUCAAGCAGUGUUUUUAUUUUCCAGAAUGGAAAAUUCUUCAGUAUGUGAAUUCUGCAGUAUGUGAAUUGCAGUUUUGUUUUCCAAAAAAAGGAAAAAGCUUUUGAACUUUAAUACCCUGAGAACAUGUUUAAAGGAGUCAGAAAUCCAUCCCUUCCAUUGGAACAGUUCUCUACUGUGUAAUGGAGAUUGAGAAAUGCAGAGAAAACUGUGGAUUGUCCCAGGUAGCACAGCUCAUCUUGGCUGGGCUGGCUAUUCAUUUCUUGGAGCCUGGGCUGUCUGUGCAUCACCAGGGCACAAUGUGCUGAUUUCCUCUAGCAAGACAGUGAGGUGAGUUGUUGUUCUAAAU
rnacentral:lncRNA from 1 species